GUUCAAAUACUACACUAAACAGAGCCAAAGAGAGCCGGUCGCAACAUACCAGCAAAAUAUUGCACUCAAAUUUCACCAAAGGCCAAACAAUAAUAUCCAGAUCGCAGCAAAAGAAAGAAUGUCCAAAAUGAAACGAGUAACAAAGCUAAUUACAAGAUUGCAGAGCUCAAAUGAGCACAUAAAGCAGUAAAUUUUCCACAAUUUUUGUAAAUUACAGCUAAAAAAAGCAAUUUAUUGACAAGCAAAGACUUGAUCUGAAGAUACUUAGUGAGAAAGUGACUGAAAAAGAAAGAGAAAUUCAAAGUGAGAGAGCUUACAGUACCGGCGGUGAGAAAUGAAGUGUCGGCGGCAGCAAUUUCGCCGGAGAAAUUAGGCCAUUUUUGGGUGGCUGAGGGUUUUAUGGUUGCGAGCGAAUCCCUAAAAGAGAGAGGGAGUGAGAGAGAGCGAAAAGAGGAAAGUAAGAGAGAGAAAAAAAGAGGAAUGUUUGACGACUGCUUAUUUACGACAGCUUCUGACACAUACCACUCACACACAUG
rnacentral:lncRNA from 1 species